GUGAGCAAGUGACAGCUGCUGGGAGAAUCGGUGUGCUCAUCUGUAAAUGGGGAUGAUGAUAGGGACAUCCUUUCCAUUGAGCAUAGUGCAUGUGAACAGUUCAGGGCAGAGCCCGGACCCUCAGGAGUUCUGGGUGAGUGAGAGCUGUCAGGGAGGCUGUUACUGUGAGCUGCCCUGGUUGGCCCUGGACAUAGGAUUGCCCCACCGGCCAUCUGCACCUGCCUUAGAUGACAGGAUUAGGUCACCAGAGGAAGGCUUUUCAUCCAAAGCCUUCCUAUUCAUCCUUCCUGCAAAAACUUCCCAAGUGUAUUUUUGUUGGGGAGAAAGGGGGUGGGGAACACCAUCAAUGACAGAGAACACUUAGGGACAAAUGUGGACUGAAUCCUCAUAUUUUUCUCUCCUGAGGAAGUGAAAUCUUAACCUGUCCCUUGCCACUUCCUGAAUUUUAUCUCAAAGUCCCUAUAAUGUGCUUCCUCAAGGGAAGGGGUUCAAACAUCUGGGCUCACAAGUAGGUACAAUGAAGACCUCAAGAGGAGACACCCCUCCUCUGGGGAGUGUGACAUCUGUGCCUCCAAGCUUCUGGAUGGGUUUUGGUCUGUAGCUCAAGAGCGUGACUAACUUCCUCUCUAGGGAUCAAAUGUAAGGCCAACCUAUGGUGUGAAGCCGGCCUGGGUUUGAAUCAAAGAUCUUGAGCAGAAUCUGCUCUCUGGGUUUCAAUUUCCUCUAAUAGCUGCUCAUGAUACCCUUAUGAGCAGAGACUGAAAUGACACCUGCAGAGCACGUGGUGUGGAGCACUUUGUACUUUCCCUUUCUAGCCUUAUCAGAAUUUAUUACUAUGUUUGUGUAUUUUCUGCCUACUUCAAGACCCACGAAGAAAGGGGUCUUACAUCGGUCUCCUGGUCACCGCUGGAUCCUCCCCUGCCAUAGCAUGGGGUCUAGGAGAAUAAAGGAAUGAAUGAAACCAUAGGCUCAGGAUUGCACGAGGGUAAAAUGAGAUCCAGUCAUUGUUUUGUGUGGCACUUACUACAUGCUAUAUAUGUGCCAGGAACUGUUUUAGCUGCUGGGGAAACAGCAGCAAGUAAAAGAAAAAAAUUAUACUGCUAAAAAUGGUAUACAAUGUGAUAUUUUGAUAUACAUAGGCAUUGUGAGAUGAUUACCAUAGUCAAGCUGAUUAACAUAGCAUUUUUUAAGUGUGAUGUGAUGAGGACAUUUGAGAUCUAAUCUCUUAGCAAUUUCCAAAUAUAUAAUAUAUUAACUAAUGUUAUACAUUAGGUCUCAACUUCCUCAUCUUAAUAACUGAGUUUAUACCCUUUGACCAACAUCUCAUUUCUCCCACACCCAGGACUGCCAACCACCAUUCUGUUUCCAUGAGUUCAACUUCGAUCCCACAUAUAAGUGAGGUCAUGUGAUAUUUGUCUUUCUGGGUAUUUCACUGAGCAUAUAGUUCUCUAGGUAGGGCAUGUGAGAUUUGAUGAGGGGCAGGGAGUGUGAUGGGUGGAAACAGGGUGCGGGGGAGAGGGUAGGAGGGUACACUUGUAGAAUGUGACCCACCCGGAGGGAGUUAUUAUCUGGUGCUUUGACCCCUGGCCAGACAGAGCAGCCACAAAUGGCAGUACAGAAACAACUUUGGCCAGAUGACCUGUGAGCUGGCAGCAAAGUGAGUCCUGACCCUUGACCCCCUGAAGGGGCCAUGUGGCAGGAAGGGAUGGUGCUUGGGUGUGUCGGUGAUUUCUUGAUGGUGUUACAGGAAGAGCACUGGAGACCAGGAGGGGGUCUCCUGGACUCCAGAGGGCUCCUCUCCCCUCAGUUAUCUUCACUGCCACCUUCAUUUCCUGUUUUUUUUUUUUUCUAUCUUGUCUUUUCUAGAAGCUCUCCCUCUUGAUCUUAAGUUUAUAUGAUGGGUGGGAGGCAAGUCCUGACAAGCUCAAUACAUGUAAAAUCUCCAAGCUGAGGACAGCAGUGAGCAGUCAUGCUCCUCCAGCCACAUUACUUUUCUCACCAGCCAGUUGGCUAGUGACCUAGAGCUUCAGGACCAUCCCUCUGGAAAUAGUGGCACAGAAAAUUGUUAGAGGAAACCACGUACUCCGACACUGAGGGAGGGGGGUGUCUCCCAGCUCUUGACUUCUUUAUUCUCCAUAUUACACUCCUUACUAAAAAAAAAAAAAAAAAAAAAACACAAAAAACCUUUCACUUUCUUACUAGUGUCUUCUGGCUCCCUUGCCUCUCAGAUUUACUCCCACAGAGCACAAAGCAUUUGAAUUCCUGGGAACUGCAAUGGAUCCCAUCCCUGCCUCCUGCUUCUGGAUUCUAGCCACUUGUCAGUGUAGGCAGGGGCCAGUGAGGCUUGGGAAAGGGUCUACUUGUUGGGUCCUGCCAUGCUGUGCACACAGGACUGUAUUAAGGGUGCUGGGCGACAGAGGGCUUGGGAGGAGGGGAAAGCCACAGCUCUGUCCCAGAGAAACUGACACGCACCAGUUUAACAACCUUCCUAAGUGAUGAUGGGUGCGAGGCACAACAGAGGGUGUGGUGCCCCCAUGGUGAGGUCAGCUCUGCUCUCUUCUGCCUCUUGGGAACUGGUCUUAGGCAAGACCUUGACCGCUCACUCAGGGCAAUUCCUUUCCUCCUGUACUGGGUGUACUGGGCCAGGUGGGCCUGGCCACCUCAGCACUGCCUGCCCCUUCCUUAUCCACUGCAGGUUCUUGGGGUUGAGGCACAGGAGAUGUGGAUUCAGAAGCUGCAGCUGAUGAGUGGGUCCUGGUGCCGAUCUCUUUGAGGUCCUCGGGAGCUGUGGGCCACAGGCUGAAAAGAAGUGAUCCUAAAAAAAUUGGGAGACUUGGAACAACAUACCUCCACUAUGGGAUUGUGAUAUAGGCAGAGACUGGAAUGGGUUCUCCUAACCCAAAAGGCCACAUCAAGUUAAACAACAUCCAAUUUCACUUUGAUGUUCAUAGCUGCCAGUUCAGCUACAAAAUACCGGAAAACAUAAGGCACAGAAACAGUGUCGAUAGUAUCACUGCGGUCACACAAAGUACAGUUGUAUUUUCUGUUGCGCAUGGCAGACCAAGAAGGAGGUGGCUUCUCCAACAGUGGAGAGAGUAAACUACCACACUUGACACAGACAUGGGCUACCGAUCGAUCUGAACAGUUGAAGAGGCGGUCGUGAAGGAGAAAUGAUGUACCAUGAGCUAAGAGAGCAUCCCGCUCCAUUUCCCCAAAACGGAUUCCACCCUGUACGUUUCUUCCCCCAAUGGGCUGGUUAGUGACUUUGUCUCUGGCUCCUGUGGUUCUAACUUGGAAUUUGUCUGAGACCAUGUGGCGUAAACGUUGAUAAUAAACCACACCUAUGAAAAUGUCUGCUUCCAGUUCUAUCCCACUGAUGCCACUAUACAACCUCUCAGUGCCAUAGAAGUUGUAGCCAGCAGCUUUUAACAGCUCACCAAAGUAUUCUAAGGCCGAGUUCUCUUCUGAAAAGGUGAAGGGUGUAGCAUCAUGGCAGAGACCGUGCAAAGCAGCAGACUUCCCUGCCAUACUUUCAAUUAACAUACCAAUAGUCAUGCGGGAGGGAAAACCAUGAGGAUUGAACAGAAUGUCUGGGACCAUCCCACUCUCAGUAAAUGGCAUGUCCUCAACUGGCCACAACCUGCUCAAGAUGCCCUUUUGCCCAUGACGGCUAGCAAAUUUAUCUCCAAUGGUUGGGUUCCGAGGGACUCUCAUCGUGAUGCAAACACACUUGAAUCUCCCAUUGCCAGUGUCAUUACUACACACUUUGAUGUUAUCCACAAUGCAAUUUUCUUUACUCCUGGGGGAAAAAAGGAGACAGAAGGUCAAACUAUUAUUUUUAAACUUACAAAGACACCUCAGUUUUACUGACAUAAAGGAUAUUUGCAAAAUUUAUUUUUUCAUUUAUUCUCCAGUACAAAUAGAUUUGAUAUCCCUGAAAGUAUUUAUGAACAGGGCUACUGAUUCGAUUUGCUACAGAACUCUGCUCAUCUGAAAGAAUAGUCACAAGAGACUACCAAAACACCAUAACAAAGACCUACUGCUAAAACCAUUUAAUAGAUGUAAAAUAAGCUAGACACUUUUUUUUUUUUUUUUACAUUUUUAAUUUUAACGAGAGGCACACUGAACUUGACAUUUUUAGCUAGGGAAACCCAAAAAAACAUUCAUGAGAGAGAUAGCAAGUUUGAAUAACUCAGUUUUCAAAGAAGUCACAGAUAACUUAUCAAAUCGUGUAACAGACUGACAAGAGAAAUAGAAAAAGACAGACACAGAACUGUGUCUCAUUUAAGAAAUACCAAUUCAGUUAUGACUGAGUAACCGAGCUACCACUUAUAUUUUUUCCACAACUCUCCUGUUACAAGAUAACUUUCACUGACCUUGGCAAUUUCACUGAGAAAACCACCUUUAAAAAACAGCACUGGGGAGGGGGGUGGGUACACCUGGGUGGCUCAGAGGCUGGGUGCCUUUGGCUCUGGUCAAGUUCUGCAUCGGGCUCCCUGCAGGGAGCCUGCUUUUCCCUCUGCUUAUGUCUCUGUGUCUCUCAUAAAUAAAUAAAUAAAAUCUUAAAAAAAAAAUAACCAGCACUGGGUACCCAAACUUACUUAUAGUACGUCACAAAGCUUUCCCCGGUGUUGAGGUUCAGGUAACUAUAAUAUGGAUCUCCAUACUGCAGCCGUGCUCCAAUAAAUGGCAAUCCAUCAUCAUCUAACUUCUGCAAAAUCCGUGGGUCCCCAGGCUUGACACCAAACACCAGACUAUCAUCUCCUUGUUUAAUUUUUUCAGAGAGAUCUAUGAACUCGGACUUGUAGACACUUCCAUGGGCAAAGCCUCGUUCCCAGGAGGCUUUAUUCACAAUCUACAAAGUCAAAGAAUCAUUAAUUUAAGAGACUGAGGCCAAAUGGGGAUUUUCACAAUAAAGAUGGCUAGAAUUAAAAUACUUGGUUUAGGAUAACUGGCAUUCUAAUUUAAAAACUCCAGGGAUCCCUGGGUGGCUCAGCGGUUUAGCGCCUGCCUUCAGCCCAGGCCGAGGUCCUGCAGUCCC